GGCCAAGUUUUUAAGGGCGCACGGUGGAUGCCUUGGCACCAGGAACCGAUGAAGGACGUGGGAGGCCACGAUAGGCCCCGGGGAGCUGUCAACCGAGCUUUGAUCCGGGGGUGUCCGAAUGGGGAAACCCGGCAGUCGUCAUGGGCUGUCACCCGCUGCUGAACACAUAGGCAGUGUGGAGGGAACGCGGGGAAGUGAAACAUCUCAGUACCCGCAGGAAGAGAAAACAACCGUGAUUCCGGGAGUAGUGGCGAGCGAAACUGGAUGAGGCCAAACCAGUCACGUGUGAUACCCGGCAGGGGUUGCGUGGUUGGGGUUGUGGGAUCUCUCUUUUGCAGUCUGCCGGCUGUGAGGCGAGUCAGAAACCGUUGAUGUAGGCGAAGGACAUGCGAAAGGUCCGGCGUAGAGGGUAAGACCCCCGUAGCUGAAACAUUAGCGGCUCGUUUGAGAGACACCCAAGUAGCACGGGGCCCGAGAAAUCCCGUGUGAAUCUGGCGGGACCACCCGUUAAGCCUAAAUAUUCCCUGGUGACCGAUAGCGGAUAGUACCGUGAGGGAAUGGUGAAAAGUACCGCGGGAGCGGAGUGAAAUAGUACCUGAAACCGUGUGCCUACAAGCCGUGGGAGCGUCGCGCAGAGAACUUGUUCUUUGCGUCGUGACUGCGUGCCUUUUGAAGAAUGAGCCUGCGAGUUUGCGGUAUGUUGCGAGGUUAACCCGUGUGGGGAAGCCGUAGCGAAAGCGAGUCCGAAUAGGGCGUGGAGUAGCAUGCUCAAGACCCGAAGCGGAGUGAUCUAGCCAUGGGCAGGUUGAAGCGGAGGUAAGACUUCGUGGAGGACCGAACCCACCAGGGUUGAAAACCUGGGGGAUGACCUGUGGUUAGGGGUGAAAGGCCAAUCAAACUCCGUGAUAGCUGGUUCUCCCCGAAAUGCAUUUAGGUGCAGCGUCGUGUGUUUCUUGCCGGAGGUAGAGCACUGGAUAGGCGAUGGGCCCUACCGGGUUACUGACCUUAGCCAAACUCCGAAUGCCGGUAAGUGAGAGCGCGGCAGUGAGACUGUGGGGGAUAAGCUCCAUGGUCGAGAGGGAAACAGCCCAGAGCAUCGACUAAGGCCCCUAAGCGUGUGCUAAGUGGGAAAGGAUGUGGAGUCGCAGAGACAACCAGGAGGUUGGCUUAGAAGCAGCCACCCUUGAAAGAGUGCGUAAUAGCUCACUGGUCAAGUGAUUCCGCGCCGACAAUGUAGCGGGGCUCAAGUACACCGCCGAAGUCGUGUCAUUGCAGCAUGAGGGCUAACGCCUGUUGUGAUGGGUAGGGGAGCGUCGUGUGCCGGGUGAAGCAGCCGUGGAAACGAGUUGUGGACGGUUCACGAGUGAGAAUGCAGGCAUGAGUAGCGAUACAAGAGUGGGAAACUCUUGCGCCGAUUGACUAAGGGUUCCUGGGUCAAGCUGAUCUGCCCAGGGUAAGUCGGGACCUAAGGCGAGGCCGACAGGCGUAGUCGAUGGACAACCGGUUGAUAUUCCGGUACCCGCUUUGAAGCGCCCAAUACUGAAUCAGGCGAUGCUAAGUCCGUGAAGCCGCCCUGAUCUCUUCGGAGUUGAGGGGAGUGGUGGAGCCGACGGACCAGACUUGUAGUAGGUAAGCGAUGGGGUGACGCAGGAAGGUAGUCCAGCCCGGGCGGUGGUUGUCCCGGGGUAAGGGUGUAGGCCGUGUGGUAGGUAAAUCCGUCGCACGUUAAGGCUGAGACCUGAUGCCGAGCCGAUUGUGGUGAAGUGGAUGAUCCUAUGCUGUCGAGAAAAGCCUCUAGUGAGUUUCAAGGCGGCCCGUACCCUAAACCGACUCAGGUGGUCAGGUAGAGAAUACCGAGGCGUUCGGGUGAACUAUGGUUAAGGAACUCGGCAAAAUGCCCCCGUAACUUCGGGAGAAGGGGGGCCAUUUCUGGUGAGGGAACUUGCUUCCUGAGCUGGGGGUGGCCGCAGAGACCAGCGAGAAGCGACUGUUUACUAAAAACACAGGUCCGUGCGAAGCCGUAAGGCGAUGUAUACGGACUGACGCCUGCCCGGUGCUGGAACGUUAAGGGGACCGGUUAGCUUGGAUUCGUCCAGGCGAAGCUGAGAACUUAAGCGCCAGUAAACGGCGGUGGUAACUAUAACCAUCCUAAGGUAGCGAAAUUCCUUGUCGGGUAAGUUCCGACCUGCACGAAUGGCGUAACGACUUCUCGACUGUCUCAACCAUAGGCCCGGUGAAAUUGCAUUACGAGUAAAGAUGCUCGUUUCGCGCAGCAGGACGGAAAGACCCCGGGACCUUUACUAUAGCUUGAUAUUGGUGUUCGGUUCGGCUUGUGUAGGAUAGGUGGGAGACUGUGAAGCGCCAACGCCAGUUGGUGUGGAGUCGUUGUUGAAAUACCACUCUGGUCGUGCUGGAUGUCUAACCUGGGUCCGUGAUCCGGAUCAGGGACAGUGUCUGGUGGGUAGUUUAACUGGGGCGGUUGCCUCCUAAAGAGUAACGGAGGCGCCCAAAGGUUCCCUCAGCCUGGUUGGUAAUCAGGUGUUGAGUGUAAGUGCACAAGGGAGCUUGACUGUGAGACUGACGGGUCGAGCAGGUACGAAAGUAGGGACUAGUGAUCCGGCGGUGGCUUGUGGAAGCGCCGUCGCUCAACGGAUAAAAGGUACCCCGGGGAUAACAGGCUGAUCUUCCCCAAGAGUCCAUAUCGACGGGAUGGUUUGGCACCUCGAUGUCGGCUCGUCGCAUCCUGGGGCUGGAGUCGGUCCCAAGGGUUGGGCUGUUCGCCCAUUAAAGCGGUACGCGAGCUGGGUUUAGAACGUCGUGAGACAGUUCGGUCCCUAUCCGCUGUGCGCGUAGGAGUCUUGAGAAGGGCUGUCCCUAGUACGAGAGGACCGGGACGGACGAACCUCUGGUGUGCCAGUUGUUCUGCCAAGGGCAUGGCUGGUUGGCUACGUUCGGAAAGGAUAACCGCUGAAAGCAUCUAAGCGGGAAGCCUGCUUCGAGAUGAGGGCUCCCUCCUCCUUGAGAGGGUAAGGCUCCCAGUAGACGACUGGGUUGAUAGGCCAGAUAUGGAAGCACUGUAAGGUGUGGAGUUGACUGGUACUAAUAGGCCGAGGGCUUGUCCUC
rfam:Streptomyces albulus strain NK660, complete genome.